rnacentral:ncRNA from 2 species
GGUCAUGAGUCCCAGCGCGAAGCCCCGGCUGGCUGGGCGGCAACCCUCCUCCCUUCGGUGGGGUGCCCCGGGUGAGGACCUGGGCGCGGUCGACCGACCGGGCCAAGCGAGGGGC